GUCAAAGUGCUGACUGAACUGCUUUGCCUUUCCUCCCUGGAUGGCAGGAACAGACCUCAGAGCCCCUGUCGGACUACAGCUAGGGGUGGGGCCCCAAAGCUGCCUCCCUCUGGGGACUCAGGGCACGGGUUCCCGAAUGCACGUCAAGGGAGACCGGCUCUCCCGGGGCUGGGGGAUUAGAGGGCCUUUCCAUUCAACUGUGGCGCGUGGGCCCGUGGGGGAGGGACGUGAAGAUCCCAAGCUGUCAUCAGCACUUUGUUUGCAAAGCUUCAAUCAAGCCCUGCAGUACUCAGCAUUUCCACUGAGCUUUUGGAAUGUCUUAGAGAUUAAGCGGAGGCCUGGGAUAAUUUCAUCCAUGUGGCUCUUGUUCAUGUGUCCCGAGUGGCCCGAUGGAGAUUCAGGUGCCAAGAAUUCUCCUCAUCUGGUUCUAAGUAGACCCUAUGUGGGCCCGAGCUGGAGGUUCCUGGAGUUUUCUGGUUUCGAUGCUUUCUCCCCACCAGAGCAUGCAGUGGCCUCUUCCACAGAAGCCAAGCAGCCCGUCCCAUUGCUUCAGCUACCUGUGGUCAACUACAGGAAACAGCCCAGGAUAAACAGCUUGGAAGCUUUCAGUCGUUGCCCCGUGGAGGACGUGAAUCCCAGGCGUGCGCGCCCUGCCCGCCGUCACCUGGACGCCGUCUCAGGC
rnacentral:lncRNA from 1 species